GGUGCUAUAGUGUAGUGGUCAUCACUCGGGAUUUUGAUAUCAGCAUAUUCCCGAAACCCAGGUUCGAACCCUGGUAGCACCU